AGCGAACGCUGGCGGCAGGCUUAACACAUGCAAGUCGAGCGGGCACUUCGGUGUCAGCGGCAGACGGGUGAGUAACACGUGGGAACGUACCCUUCGGUUCGGAAUAACGCUGGGAAACUAGCGCUAAUACCGGAUACGCCCUUUUGGGGAAAGGUUUACUGCCGAAGGAUCGGCCCGCGUCUGAUUAGCUAGUUGGUGGGGUAAUGGCCUACCAAGGCGACGAUCAGUAGCUGGUCUGAGAGGAUGAUCAGCCACACUGGGACUGAGACACGGCCCAGACUCCUACGGGAGGCAGCAGUGGGGAAUAUUGGACAAUGGGCGCAAGCCUGAUCCAGCCAUGCCGCGUGAGUGAUGAAGGCCUUAGGGUUGUAAAGCUCUUUUGUCCGGGACGAUAAGGACGGUACCGGAAGAAUAAGCCCCGGCUAACUUCGU
rnacentral:rRNA from 1 species